rnacentral:rRNA from 1 species
CCGGCACGGGUGAGUAACACGUAUCCAACCUGCCGUCUACUCUUGGACAGCCUUCUGAAAGGAAGAUUAAUACAAGAUGGCAUCAUGAGUCCGCAUGUUCACAUGAUUAAAGGUAUUCCGGUAGACGAUGGGGAUGCGUUCCAUUAGAUAGUAGGCGGGGUAACGGCCCACCUAGUCUUCGACGGAUAGGGGCUCUGAGAGGAAGGUCCCCCACAUUGGAACUGAGACACGGUCCAA